UCCUCUUUACAGAGGCAGUUUGUUUCGAGUUCCCGGCAUUACCCGCUGGUAACAAAACAUGAGGGUUGCGCUCGUUGCGGGACUUAACCCAACAUUUCACAACACGAGCUGACGACAGCCAUGCACCACCUGUGCCUCACCUUCGAAAGCGGGUGGCUUUCACCACCGUGCAGAGGCAUGUCAAGCCCUGGUAAGGUUCUUCGCGUUGCAUCGAAUUAAGCCAUAUGCUCCACCGCUUGUGCGGGCCCCCGCCAAUUCCUUUGAGUUUUAAUCUUGCGAUCGUAGUUCCCAGGCGGUUCACUUAAUGCGUUAGCUGCGGCACCGAGGCAAAGCCCCAACACCUAGUGAACAUCGUUUAUGGCCAAGACUAC
rnacentral:misc_RNA from 1 species